rnacentral:rRNA from 1 species
CCUACGGGCGGCUGCAGUGGGGAAUAUUGCACAAUGGGGGAAACCCUGAUGCAGCGACGCCGCGUGAGUGAAGAAGCGUUUCGGCGCGUAAAGCUCUGUCAGCGGGGAAGAAACACGGUUCGCGAGAGCCGCGGACGGUACCCGACCAAGAAGCCCCGGCUAACUACGUGCCAGCAGCCGCGGUAAUAUGUAGGGGGCCAGCGUUAUCCGGAUUCACUGGGUGUAAAGGGAGCGUAGACGGCGAGACAAGGCUGGAGUGAAAGGCCGGGGCCCAACCCCGGGACUGCUCUGGAAACUGUUAGACUAGAGUGCUGGAGAGGUAAGUGGAAUUCCUAGUGUAGCGGUUAAAUGCGUAGAUAGUAGGAGGAACACCAGUGGCGAAGGCGGCUUACUGGACAGUAACUGACGUUGAGGCUCGAAAGCGUGGGGAGCAAACAGGAUUAGAUACCCGUGUAGUC